AUGAUACAUUUUUCAGAUCUGUUAGCCAGGGCUGAAAGAUUGGUAUCCGAAGACAACCAAGAAACUGAAAAAGCAGUAAAAGCAUUGCUGUGUUCUGAAACCCCACUCCCCGUGCAGGGGACAAAUUGCUGUGUAACUGAAACCCCACUCCCCGUGCAGGGGACAAAUUGCUGUGUAACUGAAAUUGGUGAAAUUGAGAUUGAGAGGGAAACCUCGGCACUUCAACAUGGGACUGACUCAAGUAAGCAGACGAACAAACUCUCCAGAAGACGUGUGAGACAGCCAGGAGGACCGAAGUCGACUGUACAAGAACCAUCAAAACAGAACCUUCAAACGUGCGCCUCUCUGAGCACUGUGACUCCCACGGCCUUUCCACCCUCCCGUGAACCUUCUGCCCCUGCGAGGAGACGUAGAAUACGGCAAGCGUGUACCACUCUGACCCCUGUACUUACAGCGGGACCCACGGCAGCUCCACUCUCCCUUUCACCAGAUCCUUUCGAACCUGCGAGGCCGAUAAGGAGACGUAGGAACCAGAGACACAAGUCUAACAUUGUCAGGAGAUUGUUUGAUGAUUCAGGGUUGAGAUUAAACGAGAGCGUUCCUGAACCGUCCUUCGACCGGGUGGAGGGGGAUACGGGGGGCAACGAUCAUUCCCAACAACAGCACGAGCACCACGAGAGCGUUCCUGAACCGCUCUUUGACAGGGUGGAGGAGGAUACAGGCUGCUACAUUCAUUCCCAACACCCCCAAGACAAGGUAGUGCUGGAGAUUUUCAAUAAUGUCAUACGGUAUAUUGUUUCCUCCAAUUGUAACCAAAGGUGUACUAAAACAGUGUUGAAAAAGCUGUAAUUUUUUUUUUCCUUUUUCUGUCUUUUGUUUAAGAUAUGGAUGAGGAUUUCAAUGUUGAAUAUUUUAAUCAAGUACCGAAUGCUUUACAAAUAGCUGUUGAUCAAUUAAGUGAUGAGGAUUUCAAUGUUGAAUAUUUUAAUCAAGUACCGAAUGCUUUACAAAUAGCUGUUGAUCAAUUAAGUGAUGAGGAUUUCAAUGUUGAAUAUUUUAAUCAAGUACCGAAUGCUUUACAAAUAGCUGUUGAUCAAUUAAGUGAAAUUCCAAUCUCCAUUCCAAUAAAUUUACAAUUUACAGAGCAAAAUGAAAACGUCCUAGAACUUGACACCUUACAACUCAUAAAUGAUGCCCUCGAAAACCUUAAUGCAGUUAAUGCAGUAGAGUUUGAAAAUCAUUCUCCUUCAUCAGCUCUCCACACGCAAAGUGAUCAUGUCUUACACGCGGUAACAAUCAGAUCAGAGACGGAUUCAGCAGAGACACAAUCGGCU
rnacentral:lncRNA from 1 species